UACAGAGGUGUGAUUCCAGAUCAUGUACUCAGAGCUCCAUCAAGGCUGCUGUUCUCCUGGCCCACAUAAAGGUACCUGAUGCACCUGCUUAUGCUCCACACACCUCUGCAUAGAAAAUGGUUCUCUUCUAUUCUCUUCUCUUCUUUCAGGACAGUACAUGCUUUAGGUGGCAUUUAUGUGUGUCUGUAAGGGACCACUUCAGUGAGAUACCACCAUCUGUUUCUGCAGGUGAGCUGUAGAGCUGAUGUAUUUGUGGUUAGUUGAUGUCUUUAUUAAGUUCCAGCGAUGUGCCAAUUACUUUAGCUUUGUUUAAAAGUUCCUCAUCAGUACCAAAAAGAUUUUUAUAGACUAAAGCAUGAUUUUUAUGUUAAAAUUCUCAAGAUCAUUGGGAUCUGCAAGAAGAAAGAGCAGCUGCCUCCGCAGUCAUUGCUGAAGAUUGUCCUGGGAAUAAAUGCUGUAAGCUGGUAACCUGUGGGCUCUUGCAGAUGAUGUACAGAAGGAAGCCUUUUGCAGCAUGAGCACUUUGCUCUACCUAUGACAUCCAUGAUCUUUUUAAAAUAUAGUUUCAUUCCUAUGUAUGAGUUGUUCCUAUGCAUCAAUUCCUCUAUUUAAUUGCUGGAUUUUGCUUGUUUCUGUUCAGUCUGUGAUUUAUCUGUCUUCACAGAGAACAUUAGGCCUAGACCUUGCAGUCUCUGGUGCCAGAAGGAAAAGGCCUUUAGUGUUUUUCUUCAUUAAUUAGGUGUACUGCCCAGUGAUCCUACUGCUUAAGGCAGUGUCUCAGCAGACCGUGAGACAGGACCUUUCCCAAGAGAUCAUUCACCCCAAAACCAAAGCUGUAGAGCAGUAAACAGUGGUGAGAAGCAAAAGGACUUGCUGCUGCAGUAAAGCCAAGAAUGGAGUGCAGGUAUUUUAAUUCAAGGUACAACACCUAAACUCAGGAAGUGCUGACCUCCAGUAGCAUUUGGAAGUGAGAGACUUUUAAUCUCUCAGAUGGAGUUGCUAUACAAGGGGUUUAUUUCGUGGGCAAUGGUACACUCACCUAAUCCACUAUUGCUCCAGAUCGCUUUUGAAACUGAUUUAAUUGUGUCAGCCUUUCAUUUUUUCCCCUUUCUCAGUGUCUUCUGCUUCUAAUAGCAAUCUGAAAAUCAGUUUACUAAAGUGCCAUCAAAUAGCAUUCACAUGCGUAACUGUUUGCCUCAGCGUGUACUCAGCAAAAUGUAGAUGAGUGUAAUGGUAUAUAAUGCACUGUGCCUGGAAAAGUGCAAAGAGAGUCAGAAGAGAUUAUGAAACAAUGCAGCUCUGCUUUAAGACCUCACUGUGAACACUAAUGUUUUGAGCUCAGUAGGAGAUAAAAUCUAUUGCUGUAUUUAAAGGCAUUCUUGGACUACAGAUGAUAUCUGUUUCAUGAAUAUAGGCUGUGAUGAGGACAUUCUUCAAGUGGGGAAAAAUGAACUAACAGAAUAAAGCUUUCUGAUUAAUUUAGAAUUGGGACA
rnacentral:lncRNA from 1 species